rnacentral:rRNA from 1 species
GGACGGGUGAGUAACGCGUGAGUAACCUGCCUCUAAGAGGGGAAUAACAUUCUGAAAAGAAUGCUAAUACCGCAUAACAUAUAUUUAUCGCAUGGUAGAUAUAUCAAAGAUUUAUCGCUUAGAGAUGGACUCGCGUCCGAUUAGUUAGUUGGUGAGGUAACGGCUCACCAAGACCGCGAUCGGUAGCCGGACUGAGAGGUUGAACGGCCACAUUGGGACUGAGACACGGCCCAGACUCCUACGGGAGGCAGCAGUGGGGGAUAUUGCGCAAUGGGGGAAACCCUGACGCAGCAACGCCGCGUGAAGGAUGAAGGUCUUCGGAUUGUAAACUUCUUUUAUUAAGGACGAAGAAAGUGACGGUACUUAAUGAAUAAGCUCCGG